rnacentral:rRNA from 1 species
GACGUAGGGCGCGAGCGUUGUCCGGAUUUAUUGGGCGUAAAGAGCUCGUAGGCGGCUUGUCGCGUCGGCUGUGAAAACCCGCGGCUCAACUGUGGGCGGGCAGCUGAUACGGGCAGGCUGGAGUUCGGUAGGGGAGACUGGAAUUCCUGGUGUAGCGGUGAAAUGCGUAGAUAUCAAGAGGAACACCUGAGGUGAAGACGGGUUGCUGGGCUGACACUGACGCUGAUGCGCGAAAGCCAGGGGAGCAAACGGG